AACCCAUGAUUUGGGCAUUUCGAAGCAUCAUUUUGAACCUCUCCCAUGUCUCACAGAAAGAUUCAUCUGCUCCUUGUCUGAACAUAAAAAUUUCAAAAUUUUCUUU
rnacentral:snoRNA from 1 species